GCAUAACGCGAAGAACCUUACCCACCUUUGACAUGUAUGGAAUCCCGAAGAGAUUUGGGAGUGCUCGCAAGAGAGCCAUAACACAGGUGCUGCAUGGCUGUCGUCAGCUCGUGUCGUGAGAUGUUGGGUUAAGUCCCGCAACGAGCGCAACCCUUGCCAUCAGUUGCUACGAAAGGGCACUCUGAUGGGACUGCCGGUGACAAACCGGAGGAAGGUGGGAUGACGUCAAGUCCUCAUGGCCCUUAUAGGUGGGGUCUACACACGUCAUACAAUGGCCGGUACAAAGGGCAGUGAAGCCGCGAGGUGAAGCCAAUCCCAUAAAGCCGGUCGUAGUCCGGAUCGCAGUCUGCAACUCGACUGCGUGAAGUCGGAAUCGCUAGUAAUCGUGGAUCAGCAUGUCACGGUGAAUACGUUCCCGGGUCUUGUACACACCG
rnacentral:rRNA from 1 species